rnacentral:lncRNA from 1 species
CCUUCUCAAAUCACCGUCUAAUCUAGUAAUGAGAGAUCCAUCAUUGAGUUUGAAAUCCAAGAUCAUCCUAUGGCAGCGAUCUUUGGUUGAAAUUUAAAGAUAAAAAUAUUUUAGUCCAACAAACAAAUUGAUAUAUCAAUAUAUUAUAUCAAUUUAUAUAUGAUAUUUUGUUAUAGUGAUUAUAUAUAUUUAAUAUUUUUAUAUAUAUUAUAUUAUCAUAUAUCAUUCGUCAUAUUAUUGUCAUAUUAUUAUUCAAUGAUAAUUUAAAAUUACAGUAAAAAUAUAUUAUUAGGUUUUAUAUUUAUGUAAUAAUUUUUUUU